rnacentral:rRNA from 1 species
UACGCAGGGGGCAAGCGUUGUCCGGAAUCAUUGGGCGUAAAGAGCGUGUAGGCGGCCCGGUAAGUCCGCUGUGAAAGUCCAGGGCUCAACCCUGGGAUGCCGGUGGAUACUGUCGGGCUCGAGUCCGGAAGAGGAGUGUGGAAUUCCUGGUGUAGCGGUGAAAUGCGCAGAUAUCAGGAGGAACACCAAUGGCGAAGGCAGCACUCUGGGACGUGACUGACGCUGAGACGCGAAAGCGUGGGGAGCAAACAGG